AGUGAACGCUGGCGGUAGGCCUAACACAUGCAAGUCGAACGGCAGCACAGUAAGAGCUUGCUCUUACGGGUGGCGAGUGGCGGACGGGUGAGGAAUACAUCGUAAUCUACUUUUUCGUGGGGGAUAACGUAGGUAAACUUACGCUAAUACCGCAUACGACCUACGGGUGAAAGCAGGGGAUCUUCUCACCUUGCGCGCUUGAAUUAGCCGAUGUGGGAUUAGCUAGUUGGCGGGGUAAAGGCCCACCCAGUCGACGAUCCGUAGCUGGUCUGAGAGGAUGAUCAGCGACACUGGAACGUGGACACGGUCCAGACUCCUAAGAGAGGCAGCAGUGGGGAAUAUUAGGCAAUGGGCGCAAGCCUGAUCCAGCCAUACCGCGUGGGUGAAGAAGGCCUUCGGGUUGUAAAGCCCUUUUGUUGGGAAAGAAAAGCAGCAGGUUAAUACCCAGCUGUUCUGACGGUACCCAAAGAAUAAGCACCGGCUAACUUCGUG
rnacentral:rRNA from 1 species